rnacentral:rRNA from 1 species
GACAGAGGGUGCAAACGUUGCUCGGAAUCACUGGGCGUAAAGGGCGCGUAGGCGGGGAUGUAAGUCGGGCGUGAAAUCCCCCAGGCUCAACCUGGGAACUGCACUCGAAACUGCGUUUCUUGAGUAUCGGAGAGGAAAGCGGAAUUCCUGGUGUAGAGGUGAAAUUCGUAGAUAUCAGGAGGAACACCAGUGGCGAAGGCGGCUUUCUGGACGGUAACUGACGCUGAGGCGGCGA